UUGUAGCCAGCAACAACUCUUCAUCAUUGAAGUCACAUAACUGGAAAUUUCGCAGUGCUCUGUGCUCAGUUUUCCUGAUAAGUACGCUAAGGGGAUUCAUCCUCUAAUUUUGUUAAAUUCUCUGUCCAUCUCAAAGCCAUCUGAUGUGAACAGGAAGCUAAGGAGACUACUCUUUUGUGGAAGGCAUCAUCAAGCAAUUUGUAAUCUGCAAAAGCAGAAAGCUAAGGAGUCUACUCUUGUCAAGCAAUUUGCAAUCUGCGAAAACAGUUUGUUCGCACUUGGAUUCUUCUGCUCAUUUGAUAGCAUUGUGCUUCUAAUUUUUUUUCCUACAA